rnacentral:rRNA from 1 species
GACGAACGCUGGCGGCGUGCUUAACACAUGCAAGUCGAACGGAAAGGCCCUGCUUUUGUGGGGUGCUCGAGUGGCGAACGGGUGAGUAACACGUGAGUAACCUGCCCUUGACUUUGGGAUAACUUCAGGAAACUGGGGCUAAUACCGGAUAGGAGCUCCUGCUGCAUGGUGGGGGUUGGAAAGUUUCGGCGGUUGGGGAUGGACUCGCGGCUUAUCAGCUUGUUGGUGGGGUAGUGGCUUACCAAGGCUUUGACGGGUAGCCGGCCUGAGAGGGUGACCGGCCACAUUGGGACUGAGAUACGGCCCAGACUCCUACGGGAGGCAGCAGUGGGGAAUAUUGCACAAUGGGCGGAAGCCUGAUGUAGCAACGCCGCGUGCGGGAUGACGGCCUUCGGGUUGUAAACCGAUUUCGCCUGUGACGAAGCGUGAGUGACGGUAAUGGGUAAAGAAGCACCGGCUAACUACGUG